GAGAGAGAGAGAGAGAGAGAGAGAGAGAGAGAGAGAGAGAGAGAGAGAGAUGGAGGGAGGGAGGAAUGGGAGUUGGUAAACACAACCAUCUGCUGAGUUCGCCUAGACUUCCUGUAAAUUACUGACUACACAGGACCAACAGGGACCUCAUUAGUGUGACUCGGUAACCAAGGUUUGGUUUUUAUUUUGAUGGGGAUUCCGGGUCCGGAGACACGCCCACUGCUGCUGAGCUGCGCCUCGACAUGGAGCACACCUGUGUCACAUAACUGGUGCAGCAUGCUAGUGGCUUUAUAAAAGCACAUUGGAGUUUGGCUGUUUAAUGUCUCUUCCGUGUGCAUCUUGUGGGGGCAGAAAAGGUCUUUUGGCUAUGUUUUCCUGUCGCCUUCCCCUGGUGCGGCCAAAGAGCGCUAGCGGCUGUUUCUAAUGGCUGUUUUAUUCCGGCUAUUUUGUUAGUUGCUGUUCUGAUUAUUGCUGUUUGUUUUAUGUAUAUUUUUCAGAGCUGUUUUAAACUUGACUCAUUAUUGGGUUACAGUCGGCGUAGUGCGGACGUUGCAGCGGUGAACACUAUCUUGAAUACUGGGAUGAUGCGUCAGUACUGCAUUGCUGUAUAUUUAUUCUGAGUACAAAUUUAUCUAAUUGA